rnacentral:rRNA from 1 species
GACGAACCGUGCGAACGUUGUUCGGAAUCACUGGGCUUAAAGGGCGCGUAGGUGGCCUUCUAAGUUGAACGUGAAAUCCCUGGGCUCAACCCAGGAACUGCGUCCAAGACUGGGAGGCUUGAAUCCGGGAGAGGGAUGCGGAAUUCCAGGUGUAGCGGUGAAAUGCGUAGAUAUUCGGAAGAACACCAGUGGCGAAGGCGGCUCACUGGCCCGGUACUGACGCUGAGGUGCGAAAGCGUGGGGAGCAAACAGG